CCAGAGUUGAUACUUCCCACAAUCUUCCUUUACCUGUUUGUGAUUGGGUUAUGGAACUAUAGGUGCAGGCCAAGACACCCACCUCACAUGGAUAUUCGGCUUUCGCAUGCUGACAAAGUGCACCCCGAUGAGCUAGAUGAGGAAUUCGACACUUUCCCAACUACACGACCAGCUGAUAUUGUAAGGAUGAGAUAUGAUAGGCUGAGAAGUGUCGCAGGCAGAGUACAGACAGUGGUGGGGGAUUUGGCCAGCCAACUCAGAAUUGCUUGAGCUCUUUCC
rnacentral:misc_RNA from 1 species